UGUAAUGCAAAUAAUUAAAAAAAAGUUUUUGCCAACAGAGAGCAUAUAUAUAUAUUUAUAUAUCAAGAUUUGUCUCCUGUUUCUUAUUCCUUCCUUUAGAAGUUUAGAGUGUUCUUUGCCAGUCACUCAAGUACUAAAUAUUUAGCAUCAAUUCAUAUGAAAGUUGCUUUGAUCUUCGUGUAAAUAAACAGGCUCUCUUUCUCCCAUAAGACUCUUUCUUGAAAAUGAUUUCUUUCAUCAAGUAGUUUGUCGCAUCUCUGUGAACAUCAAUGCUGUUUCCUUCAGAACUUCAAACAAAUAUUUCCUGCACGUUUACAGGAAACGUAUUAAACACUAUAAAUGGCAACCUGCCUUGCACCUGAUUAAACAGUUAGAGAGAGACUUGGGCAACUUAGUGACACAAUCAUCUCCUGACAUCAUGGCAGGUACCAAUGUUGUUCCUUGAAAAUCCCAACAUCAAAAGAAGUCUACAGUAACUCUAAAAUUGUCCUUCAAGUGCAGAUCCCUUAUGGACAAGAGGACCAUUGUAAAAGCAGAGACCACAACUACGGCCUGGAAAGGAAGAGGGACUGGUUUGCUGAAGGCCACCCAGGACUCACAGAGCUCAUUCAAGGAUCCAACAAUGGGACUGCACUACCUUUCACAUUACAUUACUACUAUGUUCACCAAAACGUACAAAUGUUCUAAGUACUAAAGACAAAAAUUUAUGAGAACUACAACUAUAUUAAUACAGCAAGAUUUCCCUAGAGUCAUAAAUAUUAGAUACCAAACAUUGCUUUGUGCAUGUGCAAACUGAGAAAAUGCUUAAAUAUGUGUCUCCUGUUAGUCAUCUAUGACACUUUCAAACCAAUAGGCAUUUAUUUGAUAUACUAGGACUAAAGGAAAGGAAAGAAAAUCUGUUUUACAAAACAUACCUCAUAAUCAUGCUUCAUAUGAUUUACUUACUUUUUAUAAUGUGUUAAUUUUUUAUAGAAUGUUAUCUUGACAUUAUGAGAGCAAGGUUAGAUUGAGUCAUGAGUCAAAACGCAUACUCCUUACAUCUACUUGCGGAGCAGUCAGUAAGUGGUCCAUUACCAUCAAGCCAAAUUGAUAGUGCUUCCUAUUUUGUGGUAUGAAGAUACAGAAUUUGAUGAUGAGCCCAAAGUAAUGUAACAGAAGAAAUCAGAGAGGAGAAAAUACUUACUUAUUUGCAUAUUUGUUAUUUUUUUCAGUAGCAGUUCCUUCCCAAACCAUGUGUCCCUGUAAGAGGUUACUUAGACAGCACACCUCCCUCCACUUUGUCAUCUGAAAUGUCUGUA